rnacentral:rRNA from 1 species
GUGCACCAGGCGCGAAUGCGUGAGCCGGCUAAUCUGAGUGGUUCCCCAUCGGGAACCUUUUGCCAAGUGUACAAAGCUUGGCGAAUAAGGAGAGGGCAAGACUGGUGCCAGCCGCCGCGGUAAAACCAGCUCUUCGAAUCGUGGGCAUGAUUAUUUGGCUUAAAGUGUGCGUAGCAGGACAGGAUAAGUCUCCUGUGAAAUGCCAGGUCUUAAGCCUGGCGCGUGCGGGAGGAUACUAUCCGUCUUGGGACCGGGGAGUAGGUAGUGAUGUACGCAAUGGGUAGGGGUGG